rnacentral:lncRNA from 1 species
UUUUUAGAAAUACGGCAGCGUAGCAGGCGACCAGGCUCCCCUUAGAUCUUUUUAAGCUGUAACAAUAUCGCCGCUAAUUCAUUCUUAUUCUCACUCUCGCGCCUUGCUUGUACUGUACUCUCUUUGUAUCCGACAUUCUUGUUAAAUUGUAUUUAUUUUUCGGGAUCCGCUCAGUAAAAAGUGUUUUAAGUUCCCCGUGUUUUGGAACCAUUUUCCCCCGGUAGAUCUUGUAUUUUUUUCUCGUUUGUUUAUUCGGUUUUGAUUUCGAUGGCUUGCAAGAUGAUCGCCAGAUUCUAAGCCGGCUUGAGCUUUUCAAGUUUCGAAAGAUGUCGCGGGAAAUCAAGAAAGUUUACUCCAUACUAGCAACUCGUAAAUUCAUCUAUAAUAAAGUUUUGCUAAUAUCUCGGAAAGAUGGCAUCAUCUAGGAUAGCUAUAUUGUUGGUUUUCACUGUAUCCAGCAUACACGCAGCAAUCAUCCCCAGUGUGCCAGAGUACUUAGAACAGAACUCUUUGCCACUGUUUGCAAGACUGGGAGAGAAAGAAGAUGACUUUGGUGAGCGGGGCGGUUUGAGACGCCGAGACUGGGUCAAAGUUUCCGUGACUACGCCACAGUUCAUCAGGGUGCCCAUGGGCGCCCGCGUUGAGCUCCACUGUGACGUCAUGGGGAGCCCCCCUCGAGUGUCCAAUGGAAUCGUGGCCUUCAAACCCUUCAAGAGGUCAGUCUCCAACGUUCAAAAGUCAGUUUCUACGAGGAGAAAAUAUACGACUGAUGGAACUCAGAAACAUUCUUAACUCAAUUUUUUCGAAAAUGGGGGUGGUUCUUUUCGGAUUAACCCGGCCCAUUUACAUGCAGGUCGUAUUUUCAAACCCUAGAUGUCAUACAUGAGGCUUCACUUAUUGCAGGAGGCUGGCACUAUUCAUAGAAUUGUAUUCAUAUAGUCGUCCCCCAAACAGCUCCUUUCCAUGCAUUAUAGGGAGGCCCCCUGGCCCUAUGAGAUUUAUAUUGUGAUUUUGCAUGGGAUGUUUCAGGAGGUUCUCAACAAAUCGUAAAAGGACACAUUUUAAGUAAUGCGAGUGAAAUUAAACAGUUUAACUUUGUGAAUAGAUCUGUGGAAUAAAUUGCAAUGAUUCGCUGCUGCAAAAAAAUAGAAAAAAAAUGCGUCACCUGUUACAAGCGAGCUGAACCUUAAUUGGACUUCAUUUUGCAAUUUGGAACUAUAAAUUCUGGCUCUUCUGGAAAAACACUCACGUGCAUAGGGAAACUAAUGGCACAUACGUUGUUUUUAAUUUUUGGUAUUUCUUGGCUUUGUUUCCCCGCGAAAUGGUGUGGACCCAGCACCAUUUCUCCACCUUGUUACAUACAGUUCGGGCCAUUUCUUAAUUUUUUUCAGUUGUUUUUAAACCGGGCUAGACUUUAUAGUUCCAAAGUGCAAAAUGUAUUCCAGUUGAACUACAUUUUUUGGUACGGAUUCCAUAUUUCUGGCUCCCCUAGUAAAUGUGAGUCCGCCUGACGUCAGGUUGAUUCACUUUUACUAGGGUCACCCGUAAAGGCGAGUAUCCCCACUGGGAAACUAAUGGCACAUACGCUGUUUCUAAAAUGAACUGAAAUUUGUAGUUCCUCAGUGAAAAAUUUGGUCAAAUUAGACUAUUUAGGCUGACCGAAAACAUGGGAUAGUUGCAAUUAAAUUAAGAGGCACGAACAUCUUAUAUGAUUGUGCUCCCUUUCGAUUAAAUUCAUUUGUGGUGCGACUCAGUAGAAAUGAAUUUUAAACUGCAAUAAGAAACUACUUUUUCUGGCUCAUCCAUCAAAACAUUUAUAGCUGCACAAAGAAACUAAUGGAACAUACUUUCUCUCAAAAAUGAGCCGCAAAUAGAUAUUCCCUGUCACAAAAUUCAGUCCAAAUAUACGUCCAGCUUUUGCAAAAUGAGCUAGAUAUCUUGACUUUCCCGAUGCAAUGCACUCGACAAUCCAUAACAGUUCGACUGGUAGGACGUAUUUCUGCCAAACGGUAUUAUGUGAAUUAUGGCAUGAGCCCUGAAACCCAUAAGAAUGUAUGCAUAAAAAGGCUCACGUCAUAAUGCACAUAAUCCCGUUUGGCAGAAAUACGUUCAAUAACUCUUCACGAAAGUCCUUUAAAAAAAGGAUUGUUCACUGUCCGGGUGACGGGAAAUUUUUUGAAAUCAAAAUAUGAAACCCGAUGAAAGUUCCAACCUUAGAAUAAUCCUAAGUUGAACAUUACUUUAAAUGACAAUCGCAGAGCCGUGUAGGAUACCCAUUCAAGCUCUGGAGAAGCUCUCAGUUUCCUCGUCGAACGAAGUUAUUCUAGGCCGUAGGAUUCCGUCAUUAUGUUGAACAAGUUCUCGGAAAUCUGUCUCUGAGCCUGGAGGAUUCUUCGGGGCAACAGAUUCCCCGUGAAUCGGAAAUAGACGCGAGGAGCACAUGUCCGGGUUCCUUGGAAUUCGACCCUUUAGCCAUGCCGCCUAACAAGCGGUAUUCCAGCAAUUUGAAGGAGUUCCUCAACGUGAUACACCCACGCAGAGGGCACGGAAUGGCUCGGCUAUGCUGCCGACUCUCACCGUAAAUGAGGCGGAUCUUUGAAUGAGUAAAGUCCUCGACGAGGAAUUUGGCAACGUGCGGUUUUCGUAAUCGCGGAUUGGCUCAAUUGGAUGCUACGGUGUAAAGAGGACAUUCGGCGUUGCAAUGUUGUUCCUUUAAACGUUGUUUUCUAGCAGCGUUGACUGUAAAAAAAUAGGUUAAAAAAACCCGUGAACUUCAAAACAGAAAAAGCUCCAAUAAACAGUGAAAAUAACCGAGUCGGGGAACGGUUCCCUGACUCGGGAACCCUCUCUGUUCUUUAUACGUUAAAAUGUCAAAUUGUAUUUUUAAAAUUUUUCAGUCACUUAUUAUUGCAAAUUUUAACACAAAUUUUACAUUAUCACAUAUAAUAUAAGUUUUUUAUGUUAUAUAAAUUUCACUUCAUUAUUUUAUACGACAUCAAUAUGAGUGAUUUUAAGAAUUUCAUAACAUUUUGAAACCAACUUUUCUCAAUAACUUUUCACAACUUAAAUGUAUUUCGACAAGAACAGAAAAGGUUUCCUAUCUCUUGAAUGUUUACACAUGUUUUACGUUCUUUUAAAGUCAAAAUUUAUCAGUGAAUACCACUAGUGUAUACCUAAGAUAAUGUUUAAGUUCAGAGCUUCAAAACUUUCUGGACUAUAAUGACCGCGCUCCUCAAUUUUUAAUAGUGUGUGUAUUCAAGCUGGCCGCUUGUUUUGUAUUAUAAUACAAGUUCGGUGCUCCACUAUUUAUUUACAAAUUGACGGCGACUCCAGGGCGCGAACGUAAAUAAAACCGAAACCGAAGUGUCGGCGCGAUAAUGAAAUGAGUGACCCAAACGAAUAGGACACUCGUUGAUCGGAAGUUAUCAUUCGGGGGAAGCGUGUUCGUUCAAUGAACACGAGUUCCGUCUGGCGCUUAGAUGAGUAUCUCGAAUUUUAAGACGCACUCGAUAGCGCCACCCACUUGAAAGGUUUCUGAUCUAACCAUUUCGAGCGUCGGAAAAGCCUUCGACUUCGGACUUUUGACCUGAGGGUUUCCUCCCGGGCGUUUUCGGUCAAGGAGGUUCAUUUUGACGCCAUAUUCGGUUGGAAAGUGAAAAGAUUCAAAUGGGUCUGCAGUGUGAAAGGUCGCAAGCGAUUCGAGGGAUAUUGUAAGAGCCCACGUCAACAACAUAGGCGUGCCUAGGUCAUUUUGUUAGGGGGGCCUAGCCUCCUUACCUCCGGAGGAUGUUGAAUACUCCCCAGUCCAGAAGGGGGGCCAAAAGCUCCCCCAGAAAAUGUUUGACAUUUUAAAUCUUUUUGGGAAAACUUUUUGAGGUCUCCAUGACGUAGAUUUCCUAUCAGUUUUUGCGGAAAAAUUACGUUCAUUUUUUACUCUCAGCAAAGAAUACUUUGGGAUUGAUGCCUUCAGUAGAUCCGAUUUUUUUUAAGCGCUCAGCCGAUAGGCAGCGCUUUUUGAUUUCGACCUGCCACUAGAGCUCUAGUAUAGUAGUGUGCUCAAGCGAUCAAAUGGCGCACCAACUCAUCGAUGCCCGAAACGCCAUUUUUCCUUUUUAUUUUUUGAUUACUUCAUUAUACCUCUGUGAAUAAGAUUAAAUGCAAAUUAGCGUAAGAAAUAAAUAACAGUCCUAAAACUCUCUUUGCUAUGCGGUUUAUAGUUAUCCUAUAAUUACUUCUGAAAGUUCAAGAUUCGAGUUCUGUUUUCCGAAAACUUUUCCACCGGUGAUAACCUUAUUUGGAGACCUUAGUAGAAUUUGCCUAUACAUCUAGGUUAUGUGUUGUUGAAACAUUGAAACAUAUGCUAUGCUAAAUGGUCUCCGUGGCGACCAUUUUUUCUCUUCGCAUCUUAACCUAAUAUAUAUGAAAGCUCACCGCUGAGCGCUUCUCUAAUACCCACGUAUUAGAGCUUUCCCGCUUGUUUUCAUUCUGAGGCUUCCACGGCGCAAAUUUCUCAUCAAUUCUCAUCAAUUUCUGCACAAUAAUUACUUUUUUUUUUUACUUUAAGCACAACAUACUGUCGAAUUGUUGCAUUCAAUACACCUGGAAAUUUUUCGAUAUUUUACCUCUAUUUGGACGCAUUUUGAGGCUUCCAUGAUAUAUUGAGAUGUAAGGAGACAAAUAUGAGAAUUAUAUUUUGACUUUGAAUCAAUUUUUCCUUUGUGCUGCAUACGAUUUAAGUCUCCACCUUAAGAAAAAUUUUGUCUGACCCCCGCAGAUCUCUCCAUGUUAAAUCACAGGUACAUCACUCAUUUUUAAAAAUUUUGAUUUUUACCAUUACACUCAUAUUUUAAUGAUUUUUCUGAUUGCAGCAAGGAUUUGAAGAAAGCAAUGACAUUGGUGGAACAGGCGUGGCCAAGGUACGAUCGAAGCUGGUCAUCGAUUGUG